rnacentral:rRNA from 1 species
GGAGGAAAGCAGGGGAUCGUAAGACCUUGCGCUUUUGGAGUGGCCGAUGCCUGAUUAGCUAGUUGGUGGGGUAAGAGCCUACCAAGGCGACGAUCAGUAGUUGGUCUGAGAGGACGACCAGCCACACUGGGACUGAGACACGGCCCAGACUCCUACGGGAGGCAGCAGUGGGGAAUUUUGGACAAUGGGCGGAAGCCUGAUCCAGCAAUGCCGCGUGAGUGAAGAAGGCCUUCGGGUUGUAAAGCUCUUUCAGUCGAGAAGAAAAGGUUGCGACUAAUAAUCGCAACUUAUGACGGUAUCGACAGAAGAAGCACCGGCUAACUACGUGCCAGCAGCCGCGGUAAUACGUAGGGUGCGAGCGUUAAUCGGAAUUACUGGGCGUAAAGGGUGCGCAGGCGGAUCUGUAAGUCAGAUGUGAAAUCCCCGGGCUUAACCUGGGAA